rnacentral:rRNA from 1 species
ACGGGGGGUAUGCCUUAGUACGGCGAGUGAAGCGGCAAAAGCUCAAAUUUGAAAUCUGGUACCUUCGGUGCCCGAGUUGUAAUUUGGAGAGGGCAACUUUGGGGCCGUUCCUUGUCUAUGUUCCUUGGAACAGGACGUCAUAGAGGGUGAGAAUCCCGUGUGGCGAGGAGUGCGGUUCUUUGUAAAGUGCCUUCGAAGAGUCGAGUUGUUUGGGAAUGCAGCUCUAAGUGGGUGGUAAAUUCCAUCUAAAGCUAAAUAUUGGCGAGAGACCGAUAGCGAACAAGUACAGUGAUGGAAAGAUGAAAAGAACUUUGAAAAGAGAGUGAAAAAGUACGUGAAAUUGUUGAAAGGGAAGGGCAUUUGAUCAGACAUGGUGUUUUGUGCCCUCUGCUCCUUGUGGGUAGGGGAAUCUCGCAUUUCACUGGGCCAGCAUCAGUUUUGGUGGCAGGAUAAAUCCAUAGGAAUGUAGCUUGCCUCGGUAAGUAUUAUAGCCUGUGGGAAUACUGCCAGCUGGGACUGAGGACUGCGACGUAAGUCAAGGAUGCUGGCAUAAUGGUUAUAUGCCGCCCGUCUUGAACCACGGACCA